UUCAAUGUAGUUGUAGCGUAGUAACCGUUCGAGAGAAAGCGCUAGAGCUUUAAGGACAAUGACGUCAACAGUGCGUGUCUGUGCACCCACACAUUGCAGGUGUUUUUGUAAAAGUGUGUGUGUGUGUGCGUGUAUGCAUCUAUAAAAAUGUACGAGCAGGAGAUGGGAUUUUAUUGGCAACACCUGAACUCACACUUAAAAUGCAGCUGUGCUUCACUGGGAGAAACUUCGCUGUUGAUUGGGUGGAAUUUUAAUACUAUGUGUGGAUGUCAGCUCACUGCGCAGCUUUCGCCUCUGAUGACGUCAAUGGAAAAAGCUCCAUCCAAAACCAAAACAACAACAGUGCCUCCCCUAGGAGCCAACCCUCCUCCCUCCGCCCAGUGGAAAAUUCACAAAAGCCGGUAAAAGCUUGACAGGCGUCAGGAAAAUUGGAUUAUAGUAAAGCUAAGGAGCGCGGGAUAGAGAGAGGGAGAGAGUGAGAGGGAGAGGGAGAGGGAGAGAGAGCGGGACAGACAAAGAUGCCUUCUGGCGUUGGCGUUAGCAAAUGGCCCUUGAAAUGGCCAAAGUCUGCGAUAUAUGUACAUACAUAUAUCUAUAUUACAAAAUAUGCAACAUAAAUAAAAGAACGAUUGUAGAAACUCAAUUAAUUGAGAAUCGAUAUUUUUGUCGCUAAUGAAUACCUUGUGUAAUUUAGUUUGUUGACUACUUUGCAAGUAAAUGUUUAGAAUUGGUUAUCACA